rnacentral:rRNA from 1 species
UAACUACUCGAAAGAGUGGCUAAUACCGCAUGAGAUCUACGGAUGAAAGCAGGGGACCUUCGGGGCCUUGUGCUACUAGAGCGGCUGAUGGCAGAUUAGGUAGUUGGUGGGGUAAAGGCUUACCAAGCCUGCGAUCUGUAGCUGGUCUGAGAGGACGACCAGCCACACUGGGACUGAGACACGGCCCAGACUCCUACGGGAGGCAGCAGUGGGGAAUUUUGGACAAUGGGCGAAAGCCUGAUCCAGCAAUGCCGCGUGCAGGAUGAAGGCCCUCGGGUUGUAAACUGCUUUUGUACGGAACGAAAAGCUCUCUUCUAAUACAGGAGAGUCAUGACGGUACCGUAAGAAUAAGCACCGGCUAACUACGUG